CUUGGGGUUUAUUUUUCUGUGGCUGUUGUCAACUGUUUUUAAAUGGUGCAAAAGAAAAUCCGACAUCUUCGCUCACAAGGAGAGAUGCCUGGACAGGGUUUACAGUCCAUCAACGCCGUAAGAGCAGGGGUGAUGUAAGACAAGGCGACAGCACUCAAGCCCAAAACCUGACGGAUGGACUCUCUUGGAAGGAAGGGAUUCUUCUUUCCAAUUCCUUCAGUUUGGGGACCUGACGUGGUCCCUUCCAAACUGAGGUAGUUUCUUCUGUGUAAUUUUUUCCAACAGACAAUUUUCAUUUGGAAAUAUAUAACUGACAGAUCUGCAGAGGUUCUGGCAAGAGAUGGUUUUCUGUUGCUUAUCCUGAGUAAUCUGAGCUAAUGUUGCUUUAUUGUUGCAUUUAAUCUUGUUGCUUUUUAUUUUUUUUUAUUAUUUUACUUUGGAUAACUUGCUAAAAUCCAAACAACUUAUGUUGAAGGGAGGACAAUGCAGCCAGUUCAAGACCUGUCUAUGCAGUAAUAAAUAUAUUCAAAGAAGAAGCUGCA
rnacentral:lncRNA from 1 species